rnacentral:rRNA from 1 species
UACGUAGGCAGCAAGCGUUGUUCGGAGUUACUGGGCGUAAAGAGUAUGUAGGCGGUUGGGUAAGUUUGGUGUGAAAUCUCCCGGCUAAACUGGGAGGGUGCGCUAAAGACUGCCUGGCUCGAGUGUGGGAGAGGAAAGCGGAAUUCCUGGUGUAGCGGUGAAAUGCGUAGAUAUCAGGAGGAACACCUGCGGUGUAGACGGCUUUCUGGACCAUAACUGACGCUGAGAUACGAAAGCGUGGGUAGCAAACAGG